UACGUAGGGGGCAAGCGUUGUCCGGAUUCAUUGGGCGUAAAGAGCGUGUAGGCGGCCAGGUAGGUCGGUUGUGAAAACUGGAGGCUCAACCUUCAGACGUCGACCGAAACCAUCUGGCUAGAGUCCGGGAGAGGAGAGUGGAAUUCCUGGUGUAGCGGUGAAAUGCGCAGAUAUCAGGAAGAACACCCGAGGCGAAAGCGGCUCUCUGGAACGGUACUGACGCUGAGACGCGAAAGCGUGGGGAGCGAACAGG
rnacentral:rRNA from 1 species